AACGACUCUCGGCAACGGAUAUCUCGGUGCAUCGAUGAAGAACGCAGCAAAAUGCGAUACUU
rnacentral:rRNA from 1 species